rnacentral:rRNA from 1 species
AGUGAACGCUGGCGGUAGGCCUAACACAUGCAAGUCGAACGGCAGCACAGUAAGAGCUUGCUCUUACGGGUGGCGAGUGGCGGACGGGUGAGGAAUACAUCGGAAUCUACUUUUUCGUGGGGGAUAACGUAGGGAAACUUACGCUAAUACCGCAUACGACCUACGGGUGAAAGCAGGGGAUCUUCGGACCUUGCGCGAUUGAAUGAGCCGAUGUCGGAUUAGCUAGUUGGCGGGGUAAAGGCCCACCUAGGCGACGAUCCGUACCUGGUCUGAGAGGAUGAUCAGCCACACUGGAACUGAGACACGGUCCAGACUCCUACGGGAGGCAGCAGUGGGGAAUAUUGGACAAUGGGCGCAAGCCUGAUCCAGCCAUACCGCGUGGGUGAAGAAGGCCUUCGGGUUGUAAAGCCCUUUUGUUGGGAAAGAAAAGCAGCAGGUUAAUACCCCGCUGUUCUGACGGUACCCAAAGAAUAAGCACCGGCUAACUUCGUG